UAGGGAAUAUUGCACAAUGGGCGAAAGCCUGAUGCAGCAACGCCGCGUGCGCGAUGAAGGCCUUCGGGUCGUAAAGCGCUUUUCGGGGAGAUGAGGAAGGACAGUAUCCCCGGAAUAAGGAUCGGCUAACUACGUGCCAGCAGCCGCGGUAAAACGUAGGAUCCGAGCGUUAUCCGAAUUCACUGGGCGUAAAGCGCGUGCAGGCGGUCCGGUAAGUUGGAUGUGAAAUCUCCUGGCUCAACUGGGAGAGGUCGUUCAAAACUGUCGGACUAGAGGACGGUAGAGGAAGGUGGAAUUCCCGGUGUAGUGGUGAAAUGCGUAGAUAUCGGGAGGAACACCUGUGGCGAAAGCGGCCUUCUGGGCCGUUCCUGACGCUCAGACGCGAAAGCUAGGGGAGCAAACGGG
rnacentral:rRNA from 1 species